UACGUAGGUGGCAAGCGUUAUCCGGAAUUAUUGGGCGUAAAGAGCGCGCAGGUGGUUGAUUAAGUCUGAUGUGAAAGCCCACGGCUUAACCGUGGAGGGUCAUUGGAAACUGGUCAACUUGAGUGCAGAAGAGGGAAGUGGAAUUCCAUGUGUAGCGGUGAAAUGCGUAGAGAUAUGGAGGAACACCAGUGCCGAAGGCGGCUUCCUGGUCUGUAACUGACACUGAGGCGCGAAAGCGUGGGGAGCAAACAGG
rnacentral:rRNA from 1 species